CAAACCGUUGCUUCGGCGGGCGGCGCCCUCGCGCGCCCCUGGGCCCCACCGCGGGCGCCCGCCGGAGGUACCCAAACUCUUGAUACAUUAUGGCCACUCUGAGUCUUCUGUACUGAAUAAGUCAAAACUUUCAACAACGGAUCUCUUGGUUCUGGCAUCGAUGAAGAACGCAGCGAAAUGCGAUAAGUAAUGUGAAUUGCAGAAUUCAGUGAAUCAUCGAAUCUUUGAACGCACAUUGCGCCCGCCAGUAUCCUGGCGGGCAUGCCUGUUCGAGCGUCAUUUCAACCAUCAAGCCCCCGGCUUGUGUUGGGGACCUGCGGCUGUCCGCAGGCCCUGAAAACCAGUGGCGGGCUCGCUAGUCACACCGAGCGUAGUAGCAUACAUCUCGCUCAGGGCGUGCUGCGGGUUCCGGCCGUUAAACGACCUUCAUAACCCAA
rnacentral:rRNA from 1 species